rnacentral:rRNA from 1 species
UACGAAGGGGGCUAGCGUUGCUCGGAAUCACUGGGCGUAGAGCGCACGUAGGCGGACUCUUAAGUCGGGGGUGAAAUCCUGGAGCUCAACUCCAGAACUGCCUUCGAUACUGGGAGUCUUGAGUUCGGGAGAGGUGAGUGGAACUGCGAGUGUAGAGGUGAAAUUCGUAGAUAUUCGCAAGAACACCAGUGGCGAAGGCGGCUCGCUGGAUCAUUGCUGACGCUGAGACGCGAAAGCGUGGGGAGCAAACAGG